rnacentral:lncRNA from 1 species
CAAGAGAAAUAAAUCCAGUGCUCAGUGACAUCAUUCUGCCUCCUCAGUUUAUAGAGCUCCCCACUCCUAACUAACGAGCGGAAGCUCUGGUUCAAAGAGGCAAUGAGACCAUAAUCAGACCUAGAACAGCGAAUUAGACAGCUGAUCGAGUUAUCCCUACCAAUCCUAUGUAUAAGGUUAUCCGAAUCUGAAGGAACCCCAGAAUGCUGCUGAUCGUCCGAUUGCUCACACGAAGACUGAUUCAUGUCAG